CCAGCGUCAUUACAUACUCGUUUUGUUAUAAUUAUGUGUUCUCCAUUUUUGUUAGGCUAAUGUCACACAUUCACGAUCUUGACUCAACGUUAGAAAAUGUCACGCUGCCAGACGUACGUUAAGAUCAUUGUAAAUAGAUCCCCUAAAAUGCCGAUCAUUGCCGACGUCGAAACGACGUUGUCGAGACGUUACUGAGAUGGACAUCCAACGGUGUUGGUUUACUGCCGACGGUGGCAGAUGUCGGGAAGGGCGCUGAGUGUUUAGAAAUUUCCAAAAGUGUCGGCGUGUGACCUGACGUCGGGAGUCAAGAUCGUGAAUAUGUGACACUGGCCUUGGUUCCCUUUGGUGCAUGUGUUCCUCAUAACAGAUUUUACCACACAGUGUUUGGCUGGUGUGUGUUGAGGCUUUGUUCCCUUUUUCCUUACCAUGCAAGGAAGAGAAGUUGCUGCUCGCCCUCAGCAUCAAUUCGGUUGGUCAAAUGCAAGAGGAAUACAGAGGGCCCUACACUGUGUGUGGAGGAUAUUAUCAACGGCAUCCCGAGUAACGACAGCAGCACCCAGCCGGUGGCCACACAAGCGGCACGCAAGAAGCUCUCAGCCCGCCCCUAGAUGCCACCCCGGAUGCCGGCCUGGUGCACCCCCUUGUACGCCUCCUGGAGAGGGCAGACAACCUCGGGUGCUGUCGUAUCGUUCGUCAAGCUGCUCCGCUCGCCGCACACCAACGUAACAUGCAAAGCAAGCCGUGUGGGCGCCGGGAAACACUGCUGGCGAUGGCCCCAAACUCAAAGACUUCGUCAUUAAGGCUGGCAUUGUACAACCUCUUUUGGAACUCAUUGGACCAGAC